rnacentral:tRNA from 1 species
UCUAAGUAACCUAAGUUUUAAGGUACUAAACUUUUAAUUUAGUCAUGAUAUAUUUAUCCUUAGGA